UAGUCCACGCCGUAAACGAUGAGAGCUAGUUGUCGGUAUGCAUGCAUAUCGGUGACACAGCUAACGCAUUAAGCUCUCCGCCUGGGGAGUACGGCCGCAAGGUUAAAACUCAAAGAAAUUGACGGGGGCCCGCACAAGCGGUGGAGCAUGUGGUUUAAUUCGACGCAACGCGAAGAACCUUACCUACACUUGACAUGCCCUGUUUGGUUUUCAGAGAUGAAUUCCUUCAUUUAGUUGGCAGGUGCACAGGUGCUGCAUGGCUGUCGUCAGCUCGUGUCGUGAGAUGUUGGGUUAAGUCCCGCAACGAGCGCAACCCUCAUCCUUAGUUGCCAGCAGGUUUGGCUGGGCACUCUAAGGAAACUGCCGGUGGCAAGCCGGAGGGAAGGUGGGGGAUGACGUCAAGUCCUCAUGGCCCUUACGUGUAGGGGCUACACACGUGCUACAAUGGGCAGAUACAAUGGGGAUAAUCCCCAAAAUCUGUCUCAGUUCGGGAUUGU
rnacentral:rRNA from 1 species